rnacentral:tRNA from 1 species
GCGUCCGUAGCUCAGUUGGAUAGAGCGUUUGCCUCCGGAGCAAAAGGCCGUGAGUUCGAAUCUCGCCGGACGCACCA